rnacentral:rRNA from 1 species
GACAGAGGGUGCAAACGUUGUUCGGAAUUACUGGGCGUAAAGCGCGUGUAGGCGGCUUGGCAAGUCGGGUGUGAAAGCCCCGGGCUCAACCUGGGAAGUGCACUCGAAACUGCUUGGCUUGAGUACUGGAGAGGGAAGCGGAAUUCUCGGUGUAGAGGUGAAAUUCGUAGAUAUCGAGGGGAACACCGGUGGCGAAGGCGGCUUCCUGGACAGUUACUGACGCUGAGACGCGAAAGCGUGGGGAGCAAACAGG